rnacentral:rRNA from 1 species
AUUGAACGCUGGCGGCAUGCCUUACACAUGCAAGUCGAACGGACCCCUCGGGGUUAGUGGCGGACGGGUGAGUAACACGUGGGAACGUGCCUUUAGGUUCGGAAUAGCUCCUGGAAACGGGUGGUAAUGCCGAAUGUGCCCUUAGGGGGAAAGAUUUAUCGCCUUUAGAGCGGCCCGCGUCUGAUUAGCUAGUUGGUGAGGUAAUGGCUCACCAAGGCUCCGAUCAGUCGCUGGUCUGAGAGGAUGACCAGCCACAUUGGGACUGAGACACGGCCCAAACUCCUACGGGAGGCAGCAGUGGGGAAUCUUGCGCAAUGGGCGAAAGCCUGACGCAGCCAUGCCGCGUGGAUGAUGAAGGUCUUUGGAUUGUAAAAUCCUUUCACCGGUGAAGAUAAUGACUGUAGCCGGAGAAGAAGCCCCGGCUAACUUCGUGCCAGCAGCCGCGGUAACAC